rnacentral:rRNA from 1 species
UCUUCGGAACUGAAGAUUUGGUGAUUGAGUGGCGGACGGGUGAGUAACGCGUGGGUAACCUGCCCUGUACAGGGGGAUAACAGUCAGAAAUGACUGCUAAUACCGCAUAAGACCACAGCACCGCAUGGUGCAGGGGUAAAAACUCCGGUGGUACAGGAUGGACCCGCGUCUGAUUAGCUGGUUGGUGAGGUAACGGCUCACCAAGGCGACGAUCAGUAGCCGGCUUGGGAGAGUGAACGGCCACAUUGGGACUGAGACACGGCCCAAACUCCUACGGGAGGCAGCAGUGGGGAAUAUUGCACAAUGGGGGAAAUCCUGAUGCAGCGACGCCGCGUGAGUGAAGAAGUAUCUCGGUAUGUAAAGCUCUAUCAGCAGGGAAGAAAAUGACGGUACCUGACUAAGAAGCCCCGGCUAACUACGUGCCAGCAGCCGCGGUAAUACGUAGGGGGCAAGCGUUAUCCGGAAUUACUGGGUGUAAAGGGUGCGUAGGUGGUAUGGCAAGUCAGAAGUGAAAACCCAGGGCUUAACUCUGGGACUGCUUUUGAAACUGUCAGACUGGAGUGCAGGAGAGGUAAGCGGAAUUCCUAGUGUAGCGGUGAAAUGCGUAGAGAUGGGGA